AACUAGUUUUUCAUGGUUCUGAAAUGGAAUAUGAAGAGGAAGCCAUUGUCAGUUGCAUUUGGGUCCUAAAAUUCUUAACACCAAAUAAUUGUGAGACUGUACUGAGGGUCUCCCAGGGCUGGUUUUAGGAAACCAGAGAACAAUGCAUAUUUUGCAAUCAGAAUUCAAAGAAAAAAAAUGAUAAAAAACAAGGGACCAUAAAGUUGGGAAAACAAGGAAACAUGGUGAAAUCUUUGGGGGGGAAAAAGGAAAAAUUUGCAAGUGAAUACAUAUCCAGGCCCCAUAAGAUACCAUAGCUUUAUACUCUACAGUGAAUAAAAAUAAUAGUUUUUCACCUUAAUUAUUUGAAGCUCGAGCCAUCACUACCAAGAAAGCUAUGACCAAUUCUUCUUCUACUGAAUAAUAUAAAAAACUUAUAUCAGAUUCUAAAAUAUAAAACCUUCAUCACGUUUCAAAGGUUGUCCUCUUUUGACUAUAACACUACCUACAGUAUAUACUACCUACAGUAUAUACUAAAACUGUCUGUACAAGUGUAGGUAGUACCAAUGUGAAAAUGCUGUGCUGAGUGGUUAUAUUACUACCUUAAAA